GCCAGCAGCGCGGGUAAAACGUAGGGGACAAGCGUUAUCCGGAUUCACUGGGCGUAAAGAGCGUUGAGGCGGUUCCGUAAGUUGGGCGUGAAAGCUCCGGGCUUAACCCGGAGAUGUCGUUCAAUACUGCGGGGCUUGAGGACAGCAGAGGAAGGUGGAAUUCCCGGUGUAGUGGUGAAAUGCGUAGAUAUCGGGAGGAACACCCGUGGCGAAGGCGGCCUUCUGGGCUGUUCCUGACGCUGAAGGCGAAAGCUAGGGGAGCGAACGGGAUUAGAUACCCCGGUAGUCCUAGCUGUAAACGAUGGAUGCUGGGUGUGGGGGGUGUAAAUUCCCUCUGUACCGAAGCAAACGCGUUAAGCAUCCCGCCUGGGGACUACGGCCGCAAGGCUAAAACUCAAACGAAUUGACGGGGGCCCGCACAAGCAGCGGAGCGUGUGGUUUAAUUCGAUGCUACACGAAGAACCUUACCUGGGUUUGACAUGCACGUGGUAGGGAACCGAAAGGGGACCGACCUUCGGGAGCGUGCACAGGUGCUGCAUGGCUGUCGUCAGCUCGUGCCGUGAGGUGUCGGGUUAAGUCCCGUAACGAGCGCAACCCUUGCCCUUAGUUACAAGUGUCUAAGGGGACUGCCCGGGACAACUGGGAGGAAGGUGGGGAUGACGUCAAGUCAGCAUGGCCUUUAUAUCCAGGGCUACACACACGCUACAAUGGCCAGUACAAUAGGUAGCCAAGUCGUGAGACGGAGCCAAUCCUUAAAGCUGGUCUCAGUUCGAAUUGCAGUCUGCAACUCGACUGCAUGAAGCUGGAGUUGCUA
rnacentral:rRNA from 1 species